rnacentral:lncRNA from 1 species
UCUCCCCCCCUCCCCCUCCCCUCCUGCUCCCUUACGGUGGCCUGGCCUAGCCUGUGGCAUCUCUUGUCGGACGAUCGGACCAGCACGGUAUUCAAUACCAAUUUAAGAUCGUUGUUUUGGAGGAAUGAGAAGCACCCCAGAAAGUCUUGGCUAACAACUGCUAUGUUUGAUAUCUGCCUUAAGUUUGGUUAAAGCCGGCCCAUCCAGAGCUUCUCAUAAUUUAUGUCGUUACUCUUUAAUUACAAUGGUUACAUUGAAGAGGCGGCAUGAAAAUGAUAAUUCGAUUAUAAUUGAGAACCCCACUUGUUGUUUGAAGUGGGCGGCAACAGCUCAAGAACAUAAAAAUAUGUCUGUUCUGGACUUCCAGUUAUUGACGGAGUCACUAACUUCAAUACAUCUCCCUUUGUUUACAAUUUUAGAUAAAUACAAGUAAUUUGGAGAUGGAGCAAUAUGUGGCCCUCGUUUAUGAUUCUGGACACCACAUUUUGGUUUUGAGUUGCCCGAAGCAGUCACUGAACACUAUUUUUGUUUUGUUCUGAUCUCGACAUUGUCGAUAGAGUCCAACUCAUCACUGCAUCUUCUUUUAUGGACUAUUUUUAUAAAAUACAACUUAUCAAGAAAUGGAGUAAUAUGUAGUUAGGAUCACCA